UUUUUUUUUUUUUUUUUUUUUGAGAUGGAGUCUUGCUCUGUCACCCAGGCUGGAGUGCAGUGGCCGGAUCUCAGCUCACUGCAAGCUCCUCCUCUCGGGUUCACGCCAUUUUCCUGCCUCAGCCUCCCGAGUAGCUGGGACUACAGGCACCCGCCACCGGCUAGUUUUUUUGUAUUUUUUAGUAGAGACGGGGUUUCACUGUAUUAGCCAGGAUGGUCUCGAUCUCCUGACCUCAUGAUCCGCCCGUCUCGGCCUCCCAAAGUGCUGGGAUUACAGGCUUGAGCCACCGCGCCCGGCCACUAAUUUUUUUAAAAAAUUCAAAAUUACAUAUUACCACCAGAUAGCAUUUUCCUAGAUAGGACUUUGAGUAGGCCGGGACAGUGGCUCACACCUGUAAUCCAGGCACUUUGGGAGGCUGAGGUGGGAGGACUAUUUGAGCCCAGGAGUGUGAGACCAGCCUAGGCAACAUGGUGAGACCCUGUCUACAAAAAAAAUUUAAAACUUAGGCAUGGUGGCACAUGCCUGUAUCCCAGCUACUGGGGAGGCUGAGGCAGGAGGAUUACCUGAGUCCAGGAGUUCAGGGCUGCAGUGAGCAAUGAUGGGUUGGCAACACUGCACUCUAGCCUGGAUGACAGAGCAAGAUCCUGUCUCUAUGUUAAGUAAGUAAAUAAAUAAAUAUUGGCUGGGCGUGGUGACUCACGCCUAUAAUCCCAACUCUUUGGGAGGCCAAGGUGGGUGGAUAACAAGGUCAGGAGUUCGAGGCUAGCCUGGCCAACAUAGUCUCUACUAAAAACACAAAAACUAGCCGGGCACAGGGGUGUGCACCUGUAGUCCCAGCUAUUCAGGAGGCUGAGGCAGGAGAAUCGCUUGAACCCGAGAUCGCACCACUGCACUCCAGCCUGGGCAAAAGAUUGAGACACCAUCUCAAAAUAUAUAAAUACAUAAAUAGUCCUGGCGCAGUGGCUCAUGCCUGUAAUCCCAGCACUAUGGGAGGCUGAGGCCAGUGGAUUACCUGAGGUCAGCAGUUCAAGACUAACGUAGUCAACACGAGGCCAGUGGAUUACCUGAGGUCAGCAGUUCAAGACUAACCUAGUCAACAUGGUGAAACCCCAUCUCUACUAAAAAUACAAAAAAUUAGCUGGGUGUUGUGGUGGGCGCCUGUAAUCCCAGCUGCUUGGGAGGCUGAGGCAGCAGAAUCGCUUGAACCCAGGAGGCAAAGGUUGCAGUGAGCCAAGAUCACGCCAUUGCACUCCAGCCUGAGCAACAAGAGUAAAACUCCGUCUCAGAAUAAAAUAAAAUAAAAAUAAAUACUUCUACUUUGUUUAUAACUAAUGUUGCAAUAAAAGAUGUAUAAGGGCCAGGCGUGGUGGCUCACGCCUAUAAUCCCAGCACUUUGGGAGGCUGAAGUGGGUGAAUCAUCUGAGGUCAGGAGUUCGAGACCAGCCUGGCCAACAUAGUGAAACCCUGUCUCUCCUAAAAAUACAAAAAUUAACCAGGCAUGGUAGUGCACACC
rnacentral:lncRNA from 1 species